GUCUACCGAACGAAGAGCAUCAGCCUGGGCACCUUCCGGGCGGGUUGCAGGGUGACUGACCAGGGUCACUGAACAAAAGAGAAUCAUUUCUGGAGGGAGCCCUGGUACCAGGAGCUCAAUGCGGACGCCUGGUUGCUAACAUUCGGUGUUUGCGCACUGGGGGCCACACAUCGUUCUCGCUGGACGCCAGUUGCCUAGAAUCUAUUUUAAUUACACAUCACAGGCUCUUGGUACGGACGUGGGGAGAGCCAGCUAUAGACGGAGGACUAGGAAACGAAGGACAACAGCUGCAGGUAACCUCCAAGGGGACAGUCCGGGGGGUGGCAGCUGCUUCUAUUCUGCUCAGGGGGUUUCCUUGCAGGGCAUUUUUGGGGGUGGAAAGUCUUGCUCUGCGAUUCAGUGAAAACAAUCAUGGUUUAAGGAGAAAGGGAGAAAUGGUACAUGACGGGGAAAGAAGUGAUCGAUGAGGCUGGGAAAGGGUUACCACCCACUAAUUAAAACAGACAAAAGUUCAACAUUACAGUUAGUUAGUAUAUUGUACAUUGUCAAGUUUAGAACA